rnacentral:rRNA from 1 species
ACGCGUGGGAAUCUACCGUACCCUACGGAAUAGCUCUGGGAAACUGGAAGUAAUACCGUAUACGCCCUAACGGGGAAAGAUUUAUCGGGGUAUGAUGAGCCCGCGUUGGAUUAGCUAGUUGGUGGGGUAAAGGCCUACCAAGGCGACGAUCCAUAGCUGGUCUGAGAGGAUGAUCAGCCACAUUGGGACUGAGACACGGCCCAAACUCCUACGGGAGGCAGCAGUGGGGAAUAUUGGACAAUGGGGGCAACCCUGAUCCAGCCAUGCCGCGUGAGUGAUGAAGGUCUUAGGAUUGUAAAGCUCUUUCACCGAUGAAGAUAAUGACGGUAGUCGGAGAAGAAGCCCCGGCUAACUUCGUGCCAGCAGCCGCGGUAAUACGAAGGGGGCUAGCGUUGUUCGGAAUUACUGGGCGUAAAGCGCACGUAGGCGGGUAUUUAAGUCAGGGGUGAAAUCCCGCAGCUCAACUGCGGAACUGCCUUUGAUACUGGGUAUCUUGAGUAUGGAAGAGGUAAGUGGAAUUGCGAGUGUAGAGGUGAAAUUCGUAGAUAUU